ensembl:misc_RNA Metazoa_SRP Metazoan signal recognition particle RNA
GCCGGGCGUAGUGUUGGACGCCUGUAAUCCCAGCUACUCUGGAGGCUGAGGCAGGAGAAUCGCUUGAACCCGGGAGAUGGAGGUUGCAGUGAGCUGAGAUCAUGCCACUGCCCUCCAGCCUGGGCAACAGAGCAAGACUCUGUCUCAA